GUACCAGGAAGGGCAGUCGAUUGGUGAAAAAGCUGCAGCAGGCGUAUUGGGAAAUGGAUUUUUUCUGUCCUCCAGACAUUAGCUUGAAAUUCUUUGAAACGAGGAGAAAACAAUCUGUGUCAGAAAUGAAAAAUUAAGGAGGUUAAUGUGAUGCCUUUUCCACUUUUAAUUUCUCUGAAUUCCAGGAUGUCCUUGGACGCUGGGGGGAGCGGAGCGAGUGAGCUUCGCCAGUCCUGCCCUGCCCUGCUGUCUGCAGGCUGUCCCACGUCCCCAUCGCUGGUGGGACAGACACAUGGACACAGGGGUGGACACACAGACACACGGACAUGUGAAUGGGCACAUGGAUACAGGGAAGGACAAACAGACACGCGGCUGCCAGGUGUGGGCUGGGGAGGCAGUGCCCUGGGAGGUGUCUCACCCGUAGUUGUGCAAGACCGUCUCUGUCAGUGUUUGCUAGGGGCAGGCUGGGGUGAGGGACGUGUUUCUGGUGAGCUGGCUCUGGAGUGUUGCAAUCAGUGGAUGUCUUUUGAGAUGGGCUGCUCGAUCGAGGCUGUUUGCUCAACAGUGUUAAUGAGCAAUAAUUUCGAAGGGGGGAAUCAGCGUGAAGUAUUUGGGCAGGGGACUGCUUCCCGUGCCUGGUACGCUCCCUGCCUUUCCAUAAGGACAGAUAUGUCUGCACACACACAUUCUCUAUGCCUCUUCCCAUGGUGGCUGCUCAGCUGCGGGCGCUGCUGGGAACGGUGCUCCGAGAGCACAGGGUGGGAGAUUUUGUGCCGUUGUUUUUCUGCCUCGGGUAAUUGUCUGUGCUUCAGCCUUUCUAAACAAAAUGCCUCUGUGGGGACCACUUUUCCCAGUCCCUUGGGUGGUCUUUUUAUGCAGGUUUUUAUCCACUCUGUGGUAGGCUAUAGGCAGCUCUCCAGAGAGCUGGAAAAACCUUUGCUUGCUUUACCCUGUUGCAGAGGGGAAAAAUGAACACCCAGAGCCUUGGUUGUAGGAAAUUUGUACAUUGUCUAUGAGUGGGCCCUGCAGCACGUGCUGACAGCUCACUGCAUCCUGGCACCAGGGCUCUGUUUUGCUGGCUAUGUAUUACCUGUCGGCUGAUUAUGUCUGCUUCAAAUGCAUUUUUCAUGUGGAAUUACUGCACAGGUUGCAGUGUGAGUCAAGCAGGCAGCAGCAAGCGAGGCCAACUCACUGCCAUUCCUUCUGUGAAUCUCUGCAUGGCUGUGCUUGUGCAGUCACAAGUUGGGGUGUAAUGAAGUUAGUGGGUUUGUGAGUUUUAUAGUGUGGCGUUUCACCGUGUCAUUGUGGCUAAGCCAAAACUGAAAUAGAUUCAGAAGGGAAAUGUGCAAGUCCUUGGAAGAAAAGUUAAUUCGUGGUUAUUGAUGGUGAUGGUUUGGCUCUGUAAAUCUCUCACUUAAGUAAUUGCAAGGCAGGAUCUUCCUAUCCUGGGAAAAAGAUCACUCUCCUUGGUCCGGUUUCUCACAUUUUUCCUGUAAGCGUGGUGGUGGUGGUGGCUGGACAACCUUCUGCCUGCCCCAGAGCAGAGGCUGGGCCAGGAGCAAGGAGCAGAGCUGCCUCGCCUGAUGCAGCUGAGCCACCCAGGUGUGAGAUGGGGCACAUUAUGUUUAUAACGUGGAUCUAAUUAUGAGAAGAUGUGUGUUUCCUCAUCUUCACUGUCAUUAUUUAUUGCAUCAACUAGGCGACAGAGACAGUGGCCACUUGUUCCAUCUGCAUGAAUCCAUCAUUCGAUUCAUUUCUUUUUAUUUCAGCUUUGCAGAAGUGAAGAGGAAAAUCAGUGAAGUUAACUGUGAGGUAGCAGGGAACAGCGAAGGACAUAUGGAAGAAACAAACCCAAAAAGCCUCCUAGGAAACGAGAUGCAGAAGGUCAAGUUAAUGAAGCAAGACUGCACUGCUGAGCACUGAAAAGUUAAAAUAUGCAAAACUUAACCUCAGGUGCACAACUCUGACUCUGCCCCCUUGUGCAUAUUCAUUAAAAUACAGUCUCUAAUUACAUGUCGUAAGCUGUCUGAGCUGCGUGUGUCCUUAAGUGCAGAAGGGAGGAUUGUGCUCUGCUGUACAUGUAGUACUGGUGGUUGUCAGCACGAGGCCGAGGCCGGCAGACCCAGCACUGCUGCUGCAGCUCCAGCCUGACACAUGAUGUGCCUGACCACGCAGCCACACACUGCUCUGCCCUUUUGGUAUGCCCACAGAUUAGAUCUGACUUCUGCACUACCGGUGCUGCUACAUAUUGAGAGGGAUGCUGCUUGCAUCCAUCUAACACCCACAGGCACUCAUUUUUGCUAUAAACUUGUGUUGAAAGCAAAUUGCUACAGUAUUUCAAAGGGAAUCCCAUGGGUGGUGCCUAGGGAUGGUGGAGGGCUGUAUCACGUCACUGCUGGCCUGCCUACAAGGGAAUUUUUUUAAUCCAUGCAAAACAUAGUUAAUGACUGUGUGAACAAUCACUGCUAAUUGCUCAUAGCUGUAGAGCUUUGUUAGUGUGCAUUGGUUGGGUUUUAUCCUCAUGUGUCUCCUUCAGCUGUCCCUGUAGAAGCCUAAUAAAUUAUAGCUCCAACAGUUCCAUGUGCAGGUGAUAUGUGCAACCAGCUCAGGAGCUUACUGGUGUGACAAAGAGGCUUCUCUUUGGGCAAGUUAGAAAUAAGUUAUGAUGGCUUCCAAUGCACAGGAAGCUGCACUGGAAAUAAGAACAGGAGCAUUGGUGCUGACGUGAGACCUGUCACGAUGGCUUUCCUUGCAGAAGUUCCUGAACAGGGCAUUGCUCAGAGCAGAUUGCUGUGCUUGCUCCUCUGGUCCUUCUGGGAUCAGCAAUAAAAGGGUUAAUGGUGCUGGCAUCUAGUUGUUUGUUUUUUUUUUUGUUGGGUCUCUUCCUGGUUGACUUCAAACUGUGUGCUACUUACAGCCAAUUGCAUGGACUCCAAUUAAGCAGAGAGGUGGGUGAUUCAGCCAUUUCUGAGGACAGCUUUUAGAUGUCUAAUUCUAAUUAGUUGAGAGGAACCCCCACCAGACACAUGAAUGUCAGUAAUAAGAAGUGAGCAGGUUCUAGGUUCUGUCUUCAGGCUGCCUGGUAUUCAGCAUCAGCUCAUAUCCAGUGUGCUUUUGAAACCAAUGCGUGGUGAAGGACUAAAAUAAAAACUUGGAUGCUGGCGUAUGGGCUGGAAGAAGCGCAGCGAUGUGAAGUGCUACGUUAGCUCCAGGAUCACUGAUUGAGAUGUUGACUUUUAGGAAGUGUAAUCAAAUAGCUGUCUGAAAAAGGGUGUAAAAUAUCCCCUUUUCCCUUUAUUCUGUUAUUUUGAAAGCCUUCUCAAGGUCUGCAUCGCUCCUGCUGUUGGCCUCUUGUUGGCAUCUGACCCAUCACUCGCUGCACGGCACUUGAGUGCCUUCUCCACUACCUGGUGCUGAGCUGAGCACUGAACCUCCGAGUCUUUGCCGGGGAGCACCUGAGCUCCAGCAGUGUUUUAGAGCAGGAAGAGAUCAGAUAAAACACAUUUUUUUUUUUGUCCAAGUGCUGGCACAAUGUCAACACUCCUAGGAAAGAGUUAACAGCAGUCUGUCUGCAGAUGUCCUGAUGGAAUGAAGGCAAGCAAUGAUAUUUUAUAUCAUUUUGAUAUCCGGUCUAAAUUAGGCCUGAGGGAAAGACUGUGGCCUAUUUAACCCAGCAUCUGUCAGUUAUCAUUAUUUUCAGCCAACUUUAGUAGUUUCAAGUACACAAUUUAUGUUUGGGGGGAGGAGAGGAAACGAGGCUAUUAGGAACUGAGUUUGGCUACUGUCUUUCCUGCAGGAAGAGUUUGCAGCGGCCCUUUUGAAGUUAUUGCAUGAGAGAAGAAAGAAAUGAGGAAUAGCAGUGUGACUGAAACUGGCCUGCAGUCACCAAGAGCAGCACGGACAAUAGCACAAGGAAGGGCAUUAGAAGUCAUUUUCGAUUAUUAGUCUUGAUCAGAGCUGCAGCAUUUGGUUAAUAGUGUUGCAAGAAAAAGGGAGUGGGCUGGCAAUGGGAUUCAGCUGUGAAAAAGGCCAAUGUGCUGUUGGGUGGGGAGUUCUCAGUAAGGAUGCAGCUGUGCUAAUGCCAGCCAGGGAGAUGAGGAAGCCCAAGGGCAGGCUCCCAGCCGCCAGGUGGUUGGUUCUCAGUGCCCACCUGCUGUGCAGACACUGCUGUUCCUGCAGCGGAGCAGAGCCAGGUGAGUCACUGCUAUGUGCUGCUGCCUGCCCGGCUGCAGGGGGAGGGAAUGCUUGGGGUAGGAGCCUUAUCGUAAUUACCUGGAGUUUCUCCUGGUGGUUACCAGCAAACAGCAUAUUUCUGUCAUGUUUCUGUGUGGCUGCUUGAUUAUUAAACCACGUGUGGAGCGUGUAGCACAUUGCAAAGGGGACUCCUUCCUGCCUUGUGCAGAUGCUGCUGGCUGUGGUCAGGCAGCUGAGCCAUCUCGGUACCUGCUACAAUCAGAACCCAGGCAGAAAACCUGAGCUUCUGAUCACUAAUGCAAUUGCCCUUUAUUUCCUGGCACUUCCUAGCAGAGUGAGGAGACUCCAGAGCUUACCCAUAUCAUAAAUCCUCACUCAGGCUGCAGGCAUCUCGCUUGGGUGCAGAAAGCACAAAUUUAGCAGCUAUGGAGAAGCUCAAACCUCCUCCUUACAGCAGCUUCUCCCCAUGUGCUGUGCUGUAUACACCUGGUUUGUGACACGUUGGGAUGUACUCAGUGGAUUUUGUUGAAAUGGAGACUAGAAUUUUAAACCUGUGGUACAGCAGCACCUUUCUGUGCUUUCACUUUCUGUAGCAGCUCAAAGUAGAAAUUAUAAAUCACUGGUGAAUGCGGUGCUGCCUUCUGUAAUGGAGACUGGAAUUUACAGAUGACGUCAAGCUGCUGCUCACCCUACCAGUGAUUCUGUAAGAAAAAUGACUUUAAAUUCUCUAGAAUGGAAGCAUUUUCCUUUGUCCAUCAAGAAGGAGCCUCAAAGUCCUUUGCCUGGGAGAUGGCACGUGUUUGGGUAUGCAAGGUGAUACGUUUGGUGGGAACUGAUAGGUAGAGACUCACUGAAGUAGCAAUCAAGAUCGGGAACUUCAGGAAAUGGUAUCAGUUAAUAAGAGUCCUUGGCAAGUAGGGAAAUAUUUGUGUUUUAUUACAGGUUGGGUGUUGCCUGGGAUAAGGACAGACCCUUCUCAGGGACUGGACAGCAUGAGCAGCAUAGAGCUGUUUGAGUCAGAAGGGACCCCUGUAGUGCAUCUGGUCCCUCUGCCUGCAAUGCACGGGGACACCCACAGCUCCAUCAGUGUGGGCUGUGGGCCCAUCCUGUGUGGGGCUGUGGUGCUCAUUGCAUGUCCUGCAGCCAGGCCAGGCUUUUGAGGGGGAGUGGUUGGCAGCAGCGGGUUGGCUGUUCCAGCAUGCACAGCAGCUCUGGGGUUUCGAGGUGUGCCUGACCCUUCUUAUGCAAUCUGCUAAAAUGCCACGUUGUGUAAUGCUGUUGUAUAAGCAGGGUGCAAGCAGGCUGCAGGAUUUCGGCAUCCAGGCGGUGCUUUCUGCUGAGCUCUCCUUCCCCUGCAGCCCAGAGGGAAUCGGUCCCAGGGAUUUCCCAUCUGCCUCACCGCACAGCGGCGUGCUGCUGGGCACCAGGACGUGGUGCUGGCUCUGUGCAUUGGUUUUUUCAGUUUGGAAGGACUGUCAAUGUUACAGCUACUGUCUGGAGGCUUUGUGUCAGAAUGAUGGGUGCUGCUAGGGGGCAGAUGAUGACUUCCCAUGUGCCACUGACCCAACUCUUCCUCCCCACAUGCAGGUUGGCAGUUGAGGUGUCUCUGCUGCCUGCCAAUGCCAUGCCAGAGGCCUGGGGUGCAGGUCUGGCCCUGCUCUGAGAUUGGCUGCAGGACAGAGGUGUUGUCUGGGGGCUGCUUUGAAAAACCAGGAAAGGAGCAGGGACAACUGUCCAGGGUUUGAUGGUAGUGAGUGUGCCUGCUAGCAGCUCCCGUGCUUUUGGUUUAUGCCUUGGGUUAUGCAUCUCUCACCCACUUUGGGCUCCAUGAGCUGCCACUGAUGUGGUGGUGCAGGGCUACAGGUGAGCAGGGUGCUUGGGUGUACUAAACACAUUUCUGCUUACAGAGGCCUCAUGCUUUAUUUAUGCACUUUCUUUACAGAGACCUGUUAUAAUAUAUAAACACAUUGUGUCCAGCACGUGGCAAUAAACAACCCAAUGACCUGAGAUCACACCUCCAUUCCUUGUGCUCUCAGACCUGGCAGCUGGAGCUAUGCUUUGAGUGAGGCACAGGGGCUGUGCAGGCGGGUAGGAAAUGAAUAACGGUGACUCAUCAGUGCUGAGAGAAGGUGGUGGGUGCUGGGGGGCUGUGGUAGUGGCUGUGAGAGCCGUUCCUCGGUGCACAUCAUUGAGUGGAGGGGUUGGCACAAGCAGUCGGUUCCUGCUCCUGCAUUUAGCAGGAGGGGAGCAGAUAUGGGAAGCCCGGUCCUUCGCGAGAUGAGCUGCAGCCGGCGAGCAUGCAUACUAAUGGGGAGCAACUUUGCAGGAGUUUCCUCGCUCCCUGCCCUCAUGCUUCCAGCCAACAUCACCAUGGGCACCACGCUACCUUUACAAAGCUGUCUUGCAGAGGGAAUGCCAGGUCUUCCACAGCACAGGCAUCUCAAAGGGGUGCUUGAAAUGAGCUCAGAGGGGAAAUGUAUCCAACUGCCUCUAAUCACACUCCAGUGACAAUGGCACGAUUUUGAACAUGGCAAACAGGCUUUGAAUGUCAGUGCAUUGUUCAUAGUGAGAUAUGUGUCAUGUUGCAUUAGCUCAGGCCGACAGCUACCAGUGGGAAAAUAUUUCUGCGAGUUUCUUGGAGUGCCCCCACCUCCUACAGGCAGCGACUUGUGCUGUCGUGGUGGCAGCAGAACCGCCUGGCCACGCUGGGAAGCAAAGAGACCGUCUGGUGCUGUGCACACGGAGUAGGUUGAGUGCUGUGUCCGAAGGGCAGGUGUGCCUUGUGAUGGUUGUGUGCUCAUGAAGUACACAUCUGGCUGUUUGGGAGAUGAAGCCCAGUCUUAUUUCUUGGUAACUUCUGCUCAGGGGACAGAACGAUAGGGUGAGCCGUGCCCAGAUGGAAGGUGGCAGCCAGCAGUACUGGGAGCAGGAGAAGCUGGCUUUUUGCUAUCUACAAGCUACGGAAGCCAGAAGCUUGGGGCAUGCUUUGGGGAGCAUACAGAGCAGUGCAGAGCACAGCCUUCCUUAUGAGUGCAAGCAGCCCCGAGGACCACGCAGCAGUGUGAGGGUGGAGCAGGCAUGAGGUGCUGCACAGCGAGAGGACAGCAGCUGGCUCACUUGGAGGCUGCAGUGCUGGGCACAGAGCCCGCUUUGCAGGGCUGAAAAGCCUUUUGGAGACAUCCUGCAUGCCCCUCUAGGAGCAUCCAGCUCUCCUCUCCCAGAGGCAGAGCUCGGCCGGGCGGCUCGCUGUGCAGCCCGUGGGCCAUGCGGUGCUCGCAGCUCCUGCCUGCUCCCAUUACUUUGUUAUUCCAGCAUCAGCUUUUCUGAGUGCCUCUCUAUUUUCUUCCAAUGUCAAGAAGGUGAGGGGGUCAAACGCUAAUGCAGUAUUUCUUUCCUUUCAUAAAAUGUACCUAGCAGAUGAGGAGUGUCAACACCGAUUUGUUUUUCAAGUGUUUCUGCAGGAUUAUUUUCUUGUUAAAAGUGACAAGGAGGUGCAGAACUGUUGGCCUUUAGCCAGAGAUGUCAUCUCGUCUUCACGAAGGUGAGCGGGCACAAGAUGACAGAGCACUUUUUUGUGGGAAAGAUGAAAAGCUGAUCCCAGUUUAAUCAUUUCCUUGAAAAGCAAAAGGUGAACGCGCUCCCCAUCUUUCUCCAGUCCUCUGUAAUGAGAGGCUGGAGAGAGGAGCUGGCAAUUAAGCUGUAGUUAGUGCAAGACGGUUCCCUGAUAGGUAUUUUUGCAGACCUCUUUUCAGUGCUGAUGUAACUGGCCUGAGCGUGGCUAUCCAUCUGUAGCCUUUUCAAAUUCCAUUGCGUCUCCUGUCAGCCAAAUCCGACGGUGCCUUGAGCAAAAGGAAGGUGCUCCUGUCGCAGCCACAGCGCAGAGCAGCUGGGGAGACCCAUCCUGGCUCCCACGUUCCCAGCCUGGCUGAGGAAGAGGCCCCGUGCCCAGCGCUGCUGGUGGGAGCCUUGACAUGCAGUGCACGUCCUGCGCUGGGCAGCAAGGAGCCAUUAAAUGCUGCUCUCCGGUCUUUCACUGCCGAUGUUUUCUGGCAGUUAAGGAGACUAAUAAAUGGCUCGCCACUUGACGUAAUCAUUAAAGGGUCUCUGCCAUUAAAAUCCUCUCCUCUCCCGCCUCCGUGGGGGCCUUGAGUGACCCUCCAGGAGAGGGAGCAUUGCUGAUUAGCGAUGCUUUCUGCUGGGUCUCUGGUGGGAUGGAGGUACAGGAACCAGGCUGGAGCACAUCCGGAGAGCUGGUGUUGCGAGAGAGUUGGUGCCCAAGGUUCUGCAACUGUGCAGUUGUGAUGGCAGUAAGAGCAGCAAUACACUGACAUCAGUGCAUCGUCGAGGCACAGGUGAGUGGUGGACUCGGAUAUCAUUGGAAGUUGUUUGUUUCUUUCUUUAAUUUCUCCCAUUCUUUUUAGACGGUUGGGCAUGCCAGGCUUGCUUCAACUUCAGAUUGGUCAGACUAAGGAAAAGAAAUGCACAGUUUGAAAAAGAUUUUCGCUGCAGUACUUGUGCUUGCAGUCUGCAUUUUUUUUCUUCUAACGAAGCGCUGCCAGAGCCUCACAGUCACGUCGUGCUUCUGCAGCAGGGUGAUGAGAAUAACCUCGUGUGGCAGAGCCUGGUGCUCCCAUCGUAGCUUUGUGCAGGUUUCCCAAAUGCUGCAAUAAGGGUGCCUGGGUUUUCCAGUUCUACUUCUCCCUGCAGAACUUGUGUUCCAUGGGGCAGCAGCAGAAGCUCCUCCUGAGCCCAACUGUUCCACGCUGCUGUACCUGCAUGGAAACACUGCCCCAUGAUGCUGCUCCUGAAGCCUGUUCCUUUACAGUCUGCUCAUAAUGAAACUUUUCAGCUUUUCACAUGGGGAAAGAAGAAAAAAAACAACAUUGGAAAAACAAGUAAACUGCAGACAGCAUCUGAAAUGAUCCCUGCAGGGAGAUGUCAGCCAGCAAGAGCAGACAGAGCAGUGUGGAAGUGGGGGGAUCAGUGUAUUCUGUCAUUGCUCCAAGUUCAGAAAUCCAACAACUUUGGAGGAAGUUGUAGUUAGAGAAGUAAUAAAAAGGCAACUGACUGGCAUGAAAACAACAUCAGCGGGUUUAAUCUAUGCAAAAAAACAAAGGGAGCAAGGCUCAGGCUGCUGCAGGAGAGGCUCUUUGGUGGGGGAGGUCAGGGUGCUUCCAUCUGUGCUGGUGGAAAGGCGAGCAGAAAAGCAGCAGAGAUGAGUCUGGCCUUGUCCAGAAAUAAAUUAGCAGAAGUAAGUAAUCUAGAUCCAGCUUCCCAUGAGUUCUGGCUUUGCUAACGGUGAUAUCAUACCUCUCUUUUAACAGCUUUUGUGAUCUCAGAGCAAAGUAUUUAAAAAAAUCAAGAUAAUUCUUUUGUGUGGACAAAAAGGAGAAGAAAAAAAACAACCAAAAACCAAAAACCCCUAAGAGCCCUGAAGUGACCUUUUAUUCUAAGUGAAGGAACAGGCAUGCUGAUGGCUUUUUCAGAUACGGAGGCUCUCAGCAAAGCAACCCAAGCGCCAGACAGCACUCCUCUAUGGGAACGGUGCCGGCAGCGCACACUUGGCCCUAUUGUCUGUGGGCUUGUAUGGACUAGUCGGUGGGAAAUGAGGCAUUUCCUUUUUGCAGCUUGCUUGCAUGGAGUGCAGGAGGUCAGAUCCUGCCCUGCCUUACGCCACAGCGUUGUGCUGUGGGUUCUGCCUGCUUUACACCAACGUGAGCGGGAUCAGACUCUGCGCUCAGGUGUCGGGGAGCUUUGACCUUCUGGGUCUUUUGGGGCAUCGUAAGUUAAAUGUCCUGAUUAGCCUGCACUGUAAAUCCAACGUUUUAAUUCUUUCCAUAUGUAAGAUUCAGUCUAAUAAGCCAAGGUUUAAGACCAUGCAAUCUAUUUGGAAUAACCAUAUGGAUUAGGAGUCAGACUGUGCUUUUCUGCUUCUUGUAUUUAUACUAAUGUAGAAACAUUUGCUAAUGUGCAUGUAGCUCAUGCUGGUAUCCAUUUUUGAAAAAUAUUACGCCAAAUGGCUUGCAUUAAAAUAUUUGAGAAGCAGUAAAACUGUGAAAGUUUCUUUCCCUCGCUCACAGAGAGACGCACAACUGUGAAAUGAGGCGUCUGCAGGCAGCGCCGUGCCUGGCUCUCCCCACAGCUUUAUCUGCAGGGCUGAUGGAGCUCAGCAUUGAUGAUGAGGCUCACAGGCAUCCUCAGCUGGCAGUACGAGGGCGCUGUGCAAGAGGAUACGCUGAGCACAGCCAGAUGAGCAUCCCCAGACUGAAAAAGAGCUCUCAGAUCCUGAAAGGUUCCUGUGGCUUGAGGUCUGGUGAUGGCAGAAGAGGAAAUAGGGGCGUUACCUUCUGCAUGAUGGACAGCUGAUGGGACAGGCAUAUUUUGACCUACACUGCGAUGCUAAUGAGGUGAGGCAUCGUUGGCCAUGCGCUGGUUCAUCAGCAGAUGGGGCAUCUUCAAAUUGUCCCUAUUGCAUGCAGUGUUGUGGUGGGAACUGGUUUGAUCUCAACACCUUUCUGCAGCAGUGAUAUCCAGCGCUGAAUUGCAUGUUCAAGGCUGUGUGCGUCUUCCCUUCUCUCACAGGCUAUUCAAAAAUGGAUUGGGGAUAGUGAGAUUUUUUUUUCCCCAUUUUUGUGGUGCUCUCCUCCAUUAAUUUCCUGGUUGUAGUACAUUACUCAUGGAUAAUUAAGAGUGAGCUAUUAAUACAACAUUUAAUAUUCAAGUGCAGUGAAGAGGAGAGAACAAUAAGUCAAAGAAUCAUAUACUACAAGACAUUUUGGUUUGGUGAUGAAAUUUUUUUGCUGGCUUUGGCUAUCAGAGCAUAGUGCUGCUUCCAUUUAAGUAAGGUCGUGAGAACUUCAUUUAUUGAUAGAAUACAAAUAGGACACUAAAUCAGGGGAAGUGAAUUUGAAUUGCUGGCCAUAUAUACAAUUACGAAUGAGAUUGGCUACUUCUAUCUAGUGUAUCUUAAGUUAGGAGAAUUAUGUUAGAGAUGGCUAAAGAGAGCUUAGAGUGUCUUAAAAUUAAUGAGAUUGAAGUCUGUCUAGGAGAAGAAAUUAAUGCUAAAAUGCAGCUCUAGCAUUAGAGACUGCUUUAACGAAGUGGUCUUGCUUUGCUCAGAUGGAGAUGUAGGCUGUGCACCAGUGUCAAAUAAAUGUGUUUCAGCCUUCAGUGCUUCUGUUUGCCCCAUCAUCUCCACACAGUGGGAAUGAGUUCAUUGCCUGUAAUAGAGAGGAGAGGGAGGCUUGCAGUGCGUGGCUGGGAGCAGUGCCAUAACAAAGUGCAGCAUGGGGUUUUCCAGCCUUCUGCCUCUCCGGGUUCUGAUGUUUGCUCCUGAGAUGUAGUGGUUUUGACUGCCCCGUGUCUGCAGAGCUGUGCUUUUCAAGGCAGGCUUUCAGGCUGCUACUUCUUCACAAUGAUGUGCCAAAAAGAGGAAGGUGCUGCUUUUCUGCUAGUGCCACAAAUACAGGGGUGUGCUUUGGAGAUGAGGAUGUCCACGUGCACACCCUGUGCA